GACGAACGCUGGCGGCGUGCUUAACACAUGCAAGUCGAACGGUAAGGCCCUUCGGGGUACACGAGUGGCGAACGGGUGAGUAACACGUGGGUGAUCUGCCCUGCACUUCGGGAUAAGCCUGGGAAACUGGGUCUAAUACCGGAUAGGACCACUGCCUGCAUGGGUGGUGGUGGAAAGCUUUUGUGGUGUGGGAUGGGCCCGCGGCCUAUCAGCUUGUUGGUGGGGUGAUGGCCUACCAAGGCGACGACGGGUAGCCGGCCUGAGAGGGUGACCGGCCACACUGGGACUGAGAUACGGCCCAGACUCCUACGGGAGGCAGCAGUGGGGAAUAUUGCACAAUGGGCACAAGCCUGAUGCAGCGACGCCGCGUGAGGGAUGACGGCCUUCGGGUUGUAAACCUCUUUCAGCACCGACGAAGCGCAAGUGACGGUAGGCGCAGAAGAAGGACCGGCCAACUACGUGCCAGCCGCCGCCGUAA
rnacentral:rRNA from 1 species